UACGUAGGGGGCAAGCAUUGUCCGGAUUUAUUGGGCGUAAAGAGCUCGUAGGUGGUUUGUCGCGUUGUUCGUGAAAACUCACAGCUCAACUGUGGGCGUGCGGGCGAUACGGGCAGACUGGAGUACUGCAGGGGAGACUGGAAUUCCUGGUGUAGCGGUGGAAUGCGCAGAUAUCAGGAGGAACACCGGUGGCGAAGGCGGGUCUCUGGGCAGUAACUGACGCUGAGGAGCGAAAGCGUGGGGAGCGAACAGG
rnacentral:rRNA from 1 species